rnacentral:misc_RNA from 1 species
GAAAUGCGAUAAGUAAUGUGAAUUGCAGAAUUCAGUGAAUCAUCGAAUCUUUGAACGCACAUUGCGCCCCUUGGUAUUCCGAGGGGCAUGCCUAUUCGAGCGUCAUUAUCACCCCUCAAGCUCCGGCUUGGUGUUGAGGCCUGCUGUAAAGGCACCCUCUAAAAUCAGUGGCAGUGCUGUCAGGCUCUAAGCGUAGUAAUUCUCUCGCUACAGGGUCCUGGUGGACACUCGUCAGAACCCCCCAUUUUUUUUUUAAUGAUUGACCUCGGAUUAGGUAGGGAUACCCGCUGAACUUAA